GUGAGAGAGAGAGAGAGAGAGAGAGAGCGAGAGAUCUCGCGACGGCGCGGGACGCUGUUUUUUUCUACGCGCAAGUUUGAGAUGUUUGGGAGAGUAUGUGGGUCGCUGUCGAGCUCCAAUCUGUUUAAAAAGCGAGACCUGCGUUGACUGAAUUCACGGCGAAGCCACGCAAAAUUGGAAGCGGAAAAGUUCCCACAAGUCGGACGAGACAAAGCUGUGCAUUUUUUUUUUUUUUUUUUGGGUUCUUUAUGUUGAAAACUCGGCGAGCUGGAAAUAGCUGCUGCAUGAGCUCGUCGCUCUGGGAGCUGGUGCUGUUGGGUGAGGAUUCAUGGUGCUCUGUGUGCUCUGGCUGUGGGCUUGCCUCUGCCCGGCCCCACAGGCAAUGCCACCUCAGACAGUCUGUUAAUGGGUUCGAUCCAGACUUACCUGAUGGACGGGGCUUUUUUCCGCCGAGUGCGUUAUUGAUGUUUUGAGUGAUUGGUUAGGAGGUGUGGAUUUCGCUGGAUGGAAAGAUUUUACGUGUAUUUAAAGAUAGACCAGGUUGGUUAUCACACUCUCAACGCGGGAAUCCUUGGCGGUGUCGAGCUUUUAUUGUUGGGCUGGAUCUGUCCUUGUGGUCCAAUACGUGUUCGACAACAGCAGCCGUAAUAUGCAAUGCAAUGCUGUGCACGAAGCUUGCGUGUGACCCUGGGGCGAUGGUUAGUUGCUUAAGCUUCUGUGCUGCUCUUGCCGCAACCCAGUGAGUAUGAAUUUUCAUUGUGGUUGUGUAUGUUAGUGGAGCUUCAGUAAGAUUCAUGUUUGACCGCAGAAUUCGAUUCAUGUGGUGGUGAGAUGUAAUUUUUAUUUUGUUUUAAGGAGGCGAUGGGCAAUAGUGAUUUCACAAUAACAAAUGGGACAAACAUCUAGUGGCGUCAGAUCAAGAAAUGACAGAAAGAAGAGAGAGCUUCUACAAUUAAUUUGCCUCAUGUCGGCAACUAAUGGAAUAAUUUAAUGCUGCAGGGGACGUUGGAUUCUUAGAUUUUUUGUAAACCACUAAUUUCUGACACUUGUUCAAUGCUGAGUUUCCUUGUGUCCUGAGAUUACGCCGAACCUUUUUGCCCUCAAAGAUGUGAAUCAGAAAUCAAGGCAAGGUGCAGAAAGGAAUGACCGCAUGAAGAACAAGAGAUUAUUACUUAUAUCCAACACAGCCAAGCUUAUACUUGUGGGUGAUGUACUUCGACAAUGUUUAUGAAUUUGUGUAAUCGGUAAGUGAAAAUAGCUGGGAUUGUUGUUUGCCUCUAUUUUUUAACUUCUUAAUUUUGCUUGUAAGAUUCACAUAUGAAGAUUAGUAAUAGAUUACCAGAUACUAUUGAUAAUAUAAGAUAAUGUUUAUAUUUUAUUCAUUGUAUUGUGUGUGUCGGAAAGCAUUGAAAUUUUCAUUGAAAAAAAUACGUUAUUUUUCAAAAGUUUGUUAGUUAGAGUUCUUAUUUAUAAGCUGAAACACUAUCUUAAUCACACAAUAGAUUACAGCAUUUAUAUAAGAAAUGUAAUGUUAGAGGUCUUACAUAAGACCUUCAUUUUUUAUCUUAAUUUUUU